rnacentral:tRNA from 1 species
GCCGAUGUGGUGGAAUUGGUAGACACGCCGCCUUGAGGGGGCGGUGGGGGUAACCCCGUGCGAGUUCAACUCUCGCCAUCGGCA